rnacentral:rRNA from 1 species
AUUGAACGCUGGCGGCAGGCCUAACACAUGCAAGUCGAGCGAGCGGCGGACGGGUGAGUAAUGUCUGGGAAACUGCCUGAUGGGGGGGGAUAACAACUGGAAACAGUGGCUAAUACCGCAUACCCUCAGAUGUGCCCAGAUGGGGUUAGCGAGUAGGUGGGGUAACGGCGCACCGAGGCGACGAUCCCUAGCUGGUCUGAGAGGAUGACCAGCCACACUGGAACUGAGACACGGUCCAGACUCCUACGGGAGGCAGCAGUGGGGAAUAUUGCACAAUGGGCGCAAGCCUGAUGCAGCCAUGCCGCGUGUGUGAAGAAGGCCUUCGGGUUGUAAAGUACUUUCAGCGGGGAGGCGUUACCCGCAGAAGAAGCACCGGCUAACUCCGUGCCAGCAGCCGCGGUAAUAC